AUAUCGAUAUCUUAUUGAUAUUUCCGGGUUUCUGGAUCUCCAUUGUUUCCGUAAGGACCAAUAUGUAAGACUUUGAUCGUGGUUUUAAGUUUGGGAGUCUGAUUCUUUUCCUUUAUGUGUAGUUUAGGUAGAUUAAAUUGUGUUUUUUUACUAGUGUAAUUUCAGAGUCGACUCCACAUCCCCUGCCCGAUUGCAGUUUUUGACGUUUCUUAUUAAUAAAUUUUUUGUUUCUUCUCAAACAGAAAAAGUAUUGUUUCAUCUAACCUAUUUAUAGACAAGUGUUUGAAAAAAAAAAUAUUGAAGGUAAACUUCUGCUUGUAAUUAAACUAUGCAUUGAAAGAGGCUAAAUUUCUGUCAUAAAUCUUAUACUUUCGUGUUUGCAGUACCCACUUUUGCAUCCAGGCGACAGCGAAUUUGUUUAUGAGAGUGGCACACCUCUACCAUUUUCUUCCGGUUCUAUUGAAGGUUCUUUUGCUUUUAUCCCUGGCAGUUUGAGGGAGCCGAAGGGCGGCCCAUUUGAUGUUGCAGUGGCGCAGUUCCCCCUCCAGGUGCCCGACUACAUCUUCUGAUAAUUAGACUGCGGGAUUGACAUGUUUUACAUGGAAACUCCAGUGCAAGGAUAAUCAUGGAUGCGUGUGUUUGUAUUGUUGGGCGACUGACCGUCGCAGUCCUCUUUGUAUUUAUAUGAUAUAUAUUUUGCGCAUUUGGAAUUUCAUUUUCUCCAUGCUAGCCUGUAAGCAUAAUAACAACCUAUUUAUGUGUGAAGAGCUCUACGUAGCUCCUAGUGUGUUCCAUGCUUUGAUGUAUCCCUGUACAAAAUCUACAGAUGCUAAAAGCAAAUGUAAUAUCGAAUAGCUUUGACCAGGUAAACCCGACACAUGAAUUUUCAAUGUUACUACUUUUGAUCA